rnacentral:rRNA from 1 species
UGCAGUCGAACGAUGAAACCGCUWCGGUGGUGGAUUAGUGGCGAACGGGUGAGUAMCWYGUGGGCAAUCUGCCCUUCACUCUGGGACAAGCCCUGGAAACGGGGUCUAAUACCGGAUAAUACUCCUGCCUGCAUGGGUGGGGGUUGAAAGCUCCGGCGGUGAAGGAUGAGCCCGCGGCCUAUCAGCUUGUUGGUGGGGUAAUGGCCUACCAAGGCGACGACGGGUAGCCGGCCUGAGAGGGCGACCGGCCACACUGGGACUGAGACACGGCCCAGACUCCUACGGGAGGCAGCAGUGGGGAAUAUUGCACAAUGGGCGAAAGCCUGAUGCAGCGACGCCGCGUGAGGGAUGACGGCCUUCGGGUUGUAAACCUCUUUCAGCAGGGAAGAAGCGCAAGUGACGGUACCUGCAGAAGAAGCGCCGGCUAACUACGUGCCAGCAGCCGCGGUAAUACGUAGGGCGCAAGCGUUGUCCGGAAUUAUUGGGCGUAAAGAGCUCGUAGGCGGCUUGUCACGUCGGAUGUGAAAGCCCGGGGCUUAACCCCGGGUCUGCAUUCGAUACGGGCUAGCUAGAGUGUGGUAGGGGAGAUCGGAAUUCCUGGUGUAGCGGUGAAAUGCGCAGAUAUCAGGAGGAACACCGGUGGCGAAGGCGGAUCUCUGGGCCAUUACUGACGCUGAGGAGCGAAAGCGUGGGGAGCGAACAGGAUUAGAUACCCUGGUAGUCCACGCCGUAAACGUUGGGAACUAGGUGUUGGCGACAUUCCACGUCGUCGGUGCCGCAGCUAACGCAUUAAGUUCCCCGCCUGGGGAGUACGGCCG